rnacentral:rRNA from 1 species
UCUUUCUUUGCUGGCGACCGGCGCACGGGUGAGUAACACGUAUCCAACCUGCCCUUUACUCGGGGAUAGCCUUUCGAGAGAAAGAUUAAUACCCGAUAGCAUAAUGAUUCCGCAUGGUUUCAUUAUUAAAGGAUUCCGGUAAAGGAUGGGGAUGCGUUCCAUUAGGUUGUUGGUGGGGUAACGGCCCACCAAGCCUUCGAUGGAUAGGGGUUCUGAGAGGAAGGUCCCCCACAUUGGAACUGAGACACGGUCCAA